rnacentral:rRNA from 1 species
GACGAACUUUGGCGGCGUGCUUAACACAUGCAAGUCGAACGGAAAGGCCCUGCUUUUGUGGGGUGCUCGAGUGGCGAACGGGUGAGUAACACGUGAGUAACCUGCCCUUGACUUUGGGAUAACUUCAGGAAACUGGGGCUAAUACCGGAUAGGAGCUCCUGCUGCAUGGUGGGGGUUGGAAAGUUUCGGCGGUUGGGGAUGGACUCGCGGCUUAUCAGCUUGUUGGUGGGGUAGUGGCUUACCAAGGCUUUGACGGGUAGCCGGCCUGAGAGGGUGACCGGCCACAUUGGGACUGAGAUACGGCCCAGACUCCUACGGGAGGCAGCAGUGGGGAAUAUUGCACAAUGGGCGGAAGCCUGAUGCAGCAACGCCGCGUGCGGGAUGACGGCCUUCGGGUUGUAAACCGCUUUCGCCUGUGACGAAGCGUGAGUGACGGUAAUGGGUAAAGAAGCACCGGCUAACUACGUGCCAGCAGCCGCGGUGAUACGUAGGGUGCGAGCGUUGUCCGGAUUUAUUGGGCGUAAGGGGCUCAUAGGUGGUUGAUCGCGUCGGAAGUGUAAUCUUGGGGCUUAACCCUGAGCGUGCUUUCGAUACGGGUUGACUUGAGGAAGGUAGGGGAGAAUGGAAUUCCUGGUGGAGCGGUGGAAUGCGCAGAUAUCAGGAGGAACACCAGUGGCGAAGGCGGUUCUCUGGGCCUUUCCUGACGCUGAGGAGCGAAAGCGUGGGGAGCGAACAGGCUUAGAUACCCUGGUAGUCCACGCUGUAAACGGUGGGUACUAGGUGUGGGGUCCAUUCCACGGGUUCCGUGCCGUAGCUAACGCUUUAAGUACCCCGCCUGGGGAGUACGGCCGCAAGGCUAAAACUCAAAGGAAUUGACGGGGCCCCGCACAAGCGGCGGAGCAUGCGGAUUAAUUCGAUGCAACGCGUAGAACCUUACCUGGGUUUGACAUGGAUCGGGAGUGCUCAGAGAUGGGUGUGCCUCUUUUGGGGUCGGUUCACAGGUGGUGCAUGCCUGUCGUCAGCUCGUGUCGUGAGAUGUUGGGUUAAGUCCCGCAACGAGCGCAACCCUUGUUCACUGUUGCCAGCACGUUAUGGUGGGGACUCAGUGGAGACCGCCGGGGUCAACUCGGAGGAAGGUGGGGAUGACGUCAAGUCCUCAUGCCCCUUAUGUCCAGGGCUUCACGCAUGCUACAAUGGCUGGUACAGAGAGUGGCGAGCCUGUGAGGGUGAGCGAAUCUCGGAAAGCCGGUCUCAGUUCGGAUUGGGGUCUGCAACUCGACCUCAUGAAGUCGGAGUCGCUAGUAAUCGCAGAUCAGCAACGCUGCGGUGAAUACGUUCCCGGGGCU